rnacentral:rRNA from 1 species
CACGUAGGGGGCAAGCGUUGUCCGGAUUUAUUGGGCGUAAAGAGCUCGUAGGCGGUUCGGUAAGUCGGGUGUGAAACCUCCAGGCUCAACCUGGAGACGCCACCCGAUACUGCUGUGACUAGAGUCCGGUAGGGGAGCGUGGAAUUCCUGGUGUAGCGGUGAAAUGCGUAGAUAUCGAGAGGAACACCUGCGGCGAAGGCGGGUAGCUGGGCCGACACUGACGCUGAGGCGCGAAAGCCAGGGGAGCGAACGGG